rnacentral:rRNA from 1 species
UACGUAGGGAGCAAGCGUUGUUCGGAUUUACUGGGCGUAAAGGGCGCGUAGGCGGCAAUUCAAGUCAUCUGUGAAAUCUCCGGGCUUAACUCGGAACUGUCAGAUGAUACUGCUUUGCUAGAGUGCAGAAGGGGCAAUCGGAAUUCUUGGUGUAGCGGUGAAAUGCGUAGAUAUCAAGAGGAACACCUGAGGUGAAGACGGGUUGCUGGGCUGACACUGACGCUGAGGAGCGAAAGCCAGGGGAGCAAACGGG